UACGUAGGGUCCGAGCGUUGUCCGGAAUUACUGGGCGUAAAGAGCUCGUAGGUGGUUGUCGCGUUGUUCGUGAAAACUCACAGCUCAACUGUGGGCGUGCGGGCGAUACGGGCAGACUGGAGUACUGCAGGGGAGACUGGAAUCCUGGUGUAGCGGUGGAAUGCGCAGAUAUCAGGAGGAACACCGGUGGCGAAGGCGGGUCUCUGGGCAGUAACUGACGCUGGAG
rnacentral:rRNA from 1 species